rfam:Polysphondylium pallidum PN500 unplaced genomic scaffold PPL_scaffold14, whole genome shotgun sequence.
UCCUCUUUGGUGUAGUGGUAACACAUUAGUCUCUCACACUGAUACCCCGGGUUCGAUUCCCGGAAGGGGAG